ACGGAAGGCAGCAGUGAGGAAUAUUGGUCAAUGGGCGGAAGCCUGAACCAGCCAAGUCGCGUGAGGGAAGACGGCCCUACGGGUUGUAAACCUCUUUUGCGCGGGGGUAAAGUCGGGGACGUGUCCCCGAUUGCAAGUACCGUGCGAAUAAGGAUCGGCUAACUCCGUGCCAGCAGCCGCGGUAAUACGGAGGAUCCGAGUGUUAUCCGGAUUUAUUGGGUUUAAAGGGUGCGUAGGCGGGACGUCAAGUCAGUGGUGAAAUGGUGCGGCUCAACCGUAGCAUCGCCGUUGAAACUGGGGUCCUUGAGUGCGAAUGAGGUACGCGGAACGUGUCAUGUAGCGGUGAAAUGCAUAGAUAUGACACAGAACACCGAUUGCGAAGGCAGCGUACUGGGACGCGACUGACGCUGAGGCACGAAAGCAUGGGUAGCAAACAGGAUUAGAUACCCUGGUA
rnacentral:rRNA from 1 species